AUCUACGGCCAUACCACCCUGAACGUGCCUGAUCUUGUCUGAUCUCGGAAGCUAAGCAGGUUCAGGCCUUGUUAGUACUUGGACGGGAGAAAGGAGAAAAAGAAGGACAUGGAUG
rnacentral:rRNA from 2 species